UACGUAGGGGGCUAGCGUUGUCCGGAUUUAUUGGGCGUAAAGAGCGUGUAGGCGGCCAUGUAGGUCCGGUGUGAAAACUCGAGGCUUAACCUCGAGAUGUCAUCGGAAACCAUUUGGCUAGAGUCCGGAAGAGGAGAGUGGAAUUCCUGGUGUAGCGGUGAAAUGCGCAGAUAUCAGGAAGAACACCAAUGGCGAAACCAGCUCUCUGGGACGGUACUGACGCUGAGACGCGAAAGCGUGGGGAGCGAACAGG
rnacentral:rRNA from 1 species